AAGUCGUAACAAGGUUUCCGUAGGUGAACCUGCGGAAGGAUCAUUAAAACGUAUCCAACGUUAACCAAUUGUGAACUCGUUUCCUCCCUUAGCUUUGAAAAAUUGGAGCUGUGAUCGACAUUGAGUGGGAUCUGUAACAGGAUCGGUCUUUCGCAGUCACUGACACUUUCGGGUGUCGACAAGAGUAUCUUUGCUAAGGCUUUUCUUUCUGUUUCCACCCUCCAUUCAAAGGUGGGACAGAGGGAGCACAUACUAACCAUUAUCACCCUUUUUGCUAGUUGACUUUUUUAAUGUUAGUUUUUACGAAAGUAGAGAUUACACGUUUCAUUAUUUGAACGUAAAAUACAACUCUUAGCAAUGGAUAUCUAGGUUCUC
rnacentral:misc_RNA from 1 species